GAUCCGUUGGUCAAUCCUUUCUGAAAAACUAGAACCUUGCAAUAUUUUUCAUCACUGUCAUUCAUUUUCCAUUCUCACAAGUGUUGGCAAGUUUUUCUUGCUUUCCUGGUUCAUGCCCAUGGGCUAUGUCCGUUGCUAUCUUGUCAUGAAAUGCUUAUUAUCCUCAUGGAUGAUGUUAUAUGGUUUUUGUCGACUCUGACAGUUGCAUGUGGAAUGCGUCUUGAAUGGUUUCUUGUCUAUUUUUUGUUCUCAUCCUUCCUCCUUAGGAUGUGCCUGUAAUGACAUUGGUUUGCUUAAUCCACACAACUAUCCUUAUUGGAGGGGUGAACAGUUCCUUAAAGAUUAAUAUUUUAUUUUACUUUUUGGUUGAUUCACACUGCUGUUGUUUUCUGCUUGUGGUUGACCCAUUCAAGCUGCACUUUUCUUAUACAUGUGAUUGGUUUGGACAAAAUCAAUUUUGACCUGCUCUUAGAUGUUGUACCCGUGCUUUCUUUUAUUUCAUUACAUAUUUUCUUUUCCAAGAUUUUCGCAUGAUAUGGGUCAAAAACAUGUUUUUUGUUCUUUCUUCUAUCUCUAAGUUCUUCCAUUGAGGACCUAGUUCAUCUUGCUGAUCAUGGUAGUCUUGCCUAUGUCAGUCAAUUCCUUUCAAUAACAUAUUGCAAUUUCUAGGCAACCUCAUUGUAGUUUUCAUUGCUUCGUACCUCACAGGGCACCUGAACUUCUAUUGGGAGCAAAGCAAUAUUCAACAGCUAUUGACAUGUGGUCACUAGGUUGUAUAAUGGCAGAACUUUUAGCAAAGGAACUGUUAUUCAAUGGGAAAACUGAAUUUGAUCAGCUUGACAAGAUAUUCCGAACUCUGGGCACACCAAGCGCAAAGAUAUGGCCGGAGUUUGUUGAAUUGCCUGGGGUCAAGGUCCACUUUGUAAAGCAGCAGUAAGUACUUGUUCUCCCUGUUUCUGAUAUUCAUUCAAAUUCAUUAAGAGGCAUACUAGAUAUUUAGUUGUGUUCUUAUUCUCGCCACUGUUUUCCCAGGCUUCUACCUAUGGGUGAUGCUGGUCAGGCUUUCUAGUUUGCCUUGUUGGCAAUUUUUAGUUGCGCGGAUGUAGCUUAUGUUUGGAGUAACCACUGACCUGUUUUUUUCAGCGGAUAACAGCAGAAGCAGCAGAAGAUGGACGGGCAGUGUUAUCUCAGGGUCCGCCAAGCAUGACGACACCGGUGACGACGGGCGCGACCAUGACUUUGUAUUAUCUGUGGAAUCUAAUGUUGUGUAACAGUUUGAUUGAGUUAAACUUUAAAUAGACUGUUGUUAACUGUUUUGUUGGUA